GAGUAUCGAAAUAAGACCCACUCUGCCUUUGCGAUAGCUAGACGAAAUAAGAUAGUUGAGAAAAGGAUGGGUGAUGUAAUCAACCGGCAUAGUAAGGAUUACACCUGAAUAGCCAAUAUCCGUAAACCCUCAGCAUUGUCACGAAUAGCGUAACGUGUUUGGCUUGAAUCCCAGCUUAAAAUUUUCAAUUCGACUAAAGAGAUAUAUACACACUAUAGAUUACGCCUAUUUCGCGCAUGAAAUCAAGAUAAAAUACUUGACAUAUUUGAGAUAAGUGAUAAUUUGACACUCGAAAGAACAUUGCAAAGCGUCAAUUAAAGGAAGGAAGUCCACGCGAAGGCCUAAAUCGUGGCAUCUUCUAGGCGAUCUUCCGAUGGAAGUUUCCUCGUUACGAACUUUCAUCGCGUCGCACGUGAUACUUCGGAAUCUCGACGUUAACAGCAGCUGGCUGCAAUAUACCAGAGUCAAGUGCUCUUAAUCAAAAGCCCGCUCGAGGACGAGCAUGAAAAUAAGUGGAAUGGAUUACGGUCGUCCUCGAAGGGCAUUUCAGAUUGCUCGAUAUGCCCGGCAAGUUUUUUGCGAACUUAAAAGUUCUUUUUUAUUUUUUUUUAUUAAAAGUUCAAGUUCACUAUUCUUCUGCACUAAGUUAAAGCUUAUAUCUUUGCACGUUUUUACUUGAUAAAUGAUUUCGAUAUUAUUUUACAGCGGAAAGUUUUCAAGAAAUGAAACAAAAUAAAAAAAGAAAAUAUUUUAAUGGAUAACAAUAAAUCGUUUUAUAAUCGUGAAAUAAUUAUCAGGAUAUGUGAUUUAUCUGGAAAUAUAUACAAAGUGUUAAUAUAUGGAGAUCUUUGGAGGAUUGAUUUUAGAAGUUAAAACAAAAAUUGAUAUACAAAAAUGUCGAUUAACGCUUAUUUAUUAAAUUAUAAAAGCAUAUGAAGUUCGCGUUAAGUGACAUUUUUGUAUAUCAAUUUUUGCUUUGGCCUCUGAAAUUAAUUUUUCAAAAAUAUCUCACGAUUAUUUUAACGCUUUGUAACGUAUAUGUAACGUUUAUUCGAUCGGGAUUUGGUCGAAAUUAUCGUGUUGUUUGUUAUAUUUUCUAUCAAAUACACAAAGCAGAAAAUUAAAACAGUUUCAUCCACAAAAUAUCGCGAUAUUUUCUGAUUCUUAUUUAUUGUCAUAAUCAGAUCCAUAAUGAUUUAUGAUCAUAGGUUUUUGAUAUUACAUAUGAAUUUAUUUGAAAUUUUACUACAAGAUUAUUUGAAUUAAUAAAAAAGAAAAUAAAAAAAAAUAUUUCACGAUAAUAAUAAAUUACGAAAUAUAUCGAAAUAUAUCGAAAAUCAUAUUUAUAUUUUAUUAAUAAUAUAAAAAAGAAGAAGAAAAUAGAAAAGUUUAAAUCUUAUCUUAAAUAUAUAUUUUAAAUUUAUUUUAUAAUAAAUGAAAUAAAUAAAUUUGUAUCUUGUAAUAAAUUACAAAAUAAAAUUUUAAAAAUUGAA